GUGAGCUGAAAUGUUGGGUGCACGCGCAUCUUCGAGUCACUACCUCAGAAGGCGAGGGUCAGCACGCUAACAACAUUUUCAGGGCUUUUAAAUCGUGUCUGAAAUCGAAUGAAAGAAAAUCGACGUUUCCGACGUGGCAGACGAGCUAAAGUGCUCACCCUCUCUGGUGUGAAGUUGCGGGCGAGCGUUGUGCGUUGGUGAGGGUCAAGGCCUUGGCAGCCGUUGAGGAACUCUGGCAGAAAGGAGGAAUAAAAAGCUGGGAAAUCUACAGCAGCCAUGUUGUAGAGCGCCAGAGUGAUGUCAUCUUGCAAGAGGUCAUGGCUCUUAUGCAGAAGUACUUGUAGCAGCACAUUGAUGAAAUGGAAGAGCAUGGAGUUCCUGAACAGCUUCUGAACAAGCACACACACACACCCUUGCAUCAGGAUCAUUAGCGCCCCUGCCUCAUCAACUGGAGACUGGAUAAUGAAUUUGGACAAAACAAUGACUUGUAGAGUGCUUGUGCUAUUAGUAGGUUUAGAAGGCUGCACCUUCAUAGUUUUGGGGCUGUUUAAAAGGUGGAGU